rnacentral:tRNA from 1 species
ACCUGAGUGACUCAGUGGUUGAGUGUCUGCCUUUGGCUCAGGUCGUGGUCCAAGGGUCCUGGGAUCAAGUCCCAAAUCAGGUU